CACCUCCUCGGAGCGCAGCACCAUCCCAGCCUUUCCUCCUCCUCCCCCCCCCCGCCACUUCCCCUGAUCUGCCCCUUUAAGAAAAAGCGACCUUUCUCUCUCUCCCUAACCCUUUACAUGCUGCCCUUCCCCAGUGGACAAUAUUUAAAGAUGGAAGGUAACAUCCAGGAAGAGGUCCGGGGGAGUUGCUUUAGAAGGGAUCAAGGUGAUUUAUAUUAAUCCUGUUGUGGUCAGGGCAAAGGAGGUCUGAAAACAUUUGUUAUAUUUUCAAGUGGGGGACGGGGACGGAAGAGAGAGGUAACAAACCAAGUUCCUUUCUCCUUUUCUUCGUUUUGUGCUUGAGGUUCAGUUACUCCAACGCCUCGCGAUUUAACUCAAUCAGGUUCUGGGAUUCCGCCGCCCGUCCGCCCACCACGUUCUGUUUCCACAAACUUGUAAUAAAGCUGGUAAUUUUAAAAGCCAUUCAAAUAAUAAAACAAAGCCUGCCGAAUUA